rnacentral:lncRNA from 1 species
CAGCUCUGCACAGUUAUAUUAUAUAUCAUAUAUGAUAUAUAAUAAUAUUAUAUAUAUUUUAUUAUCUAUUCAGCAGAAGAAAGAAAUUCAUAAAGGAUUGAAAAAAACAUGAGGGUGAGUAUAUGAUGACAGAAUUUAUUUUAAAGUGGAGUAUCCUUUAACAAGUGAACUGGAUCAAGUUCCUGUGGAAUAAAAAAUGUCCUUGAUGGCAUGCAUUGUUUCUCGUUUUUAUUGUUUGAUUAUACAGCCAGGACUGGACUUCCUGCUUUUACACACACACACAAAAAAAAAAAAAAAAAAAAUAUAUAUAUAUAUAUAUAUAUAUAUAUAUAUAUAUAUAUAUAUAUAUAUAUAUAUAUAUAUAUAUAUAUACAAAUUUUCAUGGUAUAAUUAUGUAAUCUGCUUGUUGUGAGCCUAAAUGAGUAAAUUGGUAUUUAAUCAUUAUCAGGUUGAACUGUACGGAGCCUCUAAAGGGACCUUUGCAAAAAAAAUAAAACAGACUUUCGCGUGCGCACGAGACACCAUUGCGUGCUCACGAGAAACUAUGACGUGCUCACGAGAAACUAUGACGUGCGCACGAGAAACUUUCCCUUGCUCACGAGAAACUAUGACGUGCACACGAGAAACUUUCGCGUGCACACGAGAAAUGUUCUGUGUGCUCACGAGAGACUUUUGCGUGAGCACGAGAAACCUAUGGCGUGCACACGCCGUGCAAUUUCCGUUUUAUGCAUUUUGAAUUAGCAUCAUUACUAAUGUGUGGGUGAGAGUGUUUAGAGCGUAAUUUUUCAAAAGAUCUCAACAUGGAAGAAGAUUUUGUUGAUUUUUUGAGGUCACGAGAUAUUUCUCAAGAUUUGAUUGAGAAAAUAAAAGAGGAUAAGGUAAAUUACAGUUAGGAUAAUUAAUCAAUAUGCAUGCUUUCGUUGCCAAUGUAUUUAUAGCUGAAAUUUCCUUUUAGAUCAACAUAAGUGUCAUUGCAAUUAUGACCGAAGACGAACUUGGAAAAUAUAUUGUUAGAUAUGGGGAUCGUCUUGCAGUUAGAGCAUUUUGCAGUCAAAGACUCGCAGCAUGUGAAACCACCAAAUCCACUGCACUGCAGAGAUUAAGAGACAAGAUUCAAAAAAGAGGCAGUACAUCAGCAAAUGACGGGGGUUUAUUAAGCAAACUUUCAGGUAUCGGCAACAAACAUGCAUCUAAAGAGACCAGACGACUGGAAAUUGGGUGGCUUCAUUUUUAUAAAGGAGAAUUUCACCAGGUUCGGACAAGACAUGGAGGAGGAACGCGACAUGUGACGGUUAAAAAGAACACUUCGGUUGAGGAACUGAUGAUGAUUGGGAAGGAUUUGUUUUUUCCUAAAGGGGUUUCUUCAAAAGGCCCAGCUGCAAGCUAUACUUUUGAGAUGCGAGAUUUCAGCCAGACCACUAUUCCAUUCAGUCUGACAGUGAAUGAACUAUAUGAGCAGAGUAAACUCAGAAUGCUACGACUGUACGUAUGCACGAUGGAAAAGGAUUUGGUCAGUUCUCCCCAAGUUUCAUCAGACUCGUCCUCAGAUUUUACUCUUGACGAACUGGAACGAGAGCCAAGAGUGGCAGAGAGUACUAGGAGAACCAGAAGCAUGGCAAGAAUAUUAGGACAACCACUUGUCCAGUCAAGUGAUCCUGUGCCUGUCAGUCAUUCAUCACUCAUUGAAGAUGAGGAUAGCUUCUCUACCAGUCAAAAUUCCAGAGAGGAAAAUUGGGCAUCCACUCCUCAUGACCAUGAAUCUGAUGAUGUGGUGUGUUUGAGCGAAGAGCCAGGGUCAUUUGUUGCUGUGUCUUAUGAUCUAGAACUGGAGGACUCCGAGAUCCAGAUUGGAAUUGCACAUGAUAAUUUUGCCAUUUUGGAUUCCACUCUUUCCUGGAAUACAGAAGAUGGGGAUCCUAGACAGAAUCCACCAUUAAUUGAUCAACCUCAGACAGAAGGAUCAUUUUCUGCAGAACAGCUGAUUGAAGAAUCAGAGAAUCCUGAGAGCAUGAAAGAAAUCCAAAGUGUAAAAGUGAGAAGGGUCAAUAUAGUAAAAGAUGUUUUGGAGAUCUUCUCAAAACCCGAAGUAUUAAAGCAAAUCCUGCGUGUAGAAUUCACUAAUGAAAAUGCAAUUGAUGAUGAUGGAGUGUCACGUGAACUGUACACUGCCUUUUGGGAAGAUUUUCUUGCUCAGUGUGAGGGUGAGGAAGAACGAGUUCCAAGACUGAGACCAGACUACUCCGAGAGGGAGUGGCAGGCUGUUGGAAGAGUGUGGGUGAAAGGCUAUGUUGAUCAUGGUGUGAUGCCCAUCAGGUUGUCUCCGGCAUUUAUAUUGGCUUGUAUUGAUGGUGUGGACUCCGUUGUUGAAGAGCUCUUGAUGUCCUCAUUUUUUAAAUAUCUGUCUGCAUCAGAGCAAUCUGUUGUUGAAAAAGCUAUUCAAGGCAACCUGGAUGAAAAUAAUGCAGAAGAUUUACUUGAUCUCUUCUCACGGAUGGGUUCAUACUGCUUGCCUCCAAAAGAAAACAUUCGUUCUGCUAUUUUGACAAUGGCUCACAAAGUCCUCCUACAAGAGCCCAAAUUUAUAAUUGACUGCUUCCGGACCAUUAUGCCAACUGGCAUUCUGAAUCUGACCAGACAAAGCAUACUUGAAGCAUACGAUUCAAAGAAAGCUACAAACAAGAAAGUGUCACAAAUGAUAAAGCCAGCAAAAGAUUGCUUGAACCAGCAAGAGCAGCUGACCCUUAAUCAUCUGCAGCGCUAUGUGAAAAAUCUAGACCAAAGAAAGCUGGAGACUUUCUUACGAUUCUGUACCGGCUCUACUGUAGUGUGUAAAGACAAAAUCGAAGUCAUGUUUAAUGUAUCAUGUGGCCUUGGACGUAGGCCUGUUGCACAUACAUGUGGAGCAGUUCUCGACUUACCGUGUACAUACAGCUCUUAUCCAGAGUUUCAUGCAGAGUUUGACAAUGUACUAAAUGGAGAUUGCUUUGCAAUGGACAUUCUAUGA